rnacentral:rRNA from 1 species
GACGAACGCUGGCGGCGUGCUUAACACAUGCAAGUCGAGCGGAAAGGCCCUUCGGGGUACUCGAGCGGCGAACGGGUGAGUAACACGUGAGUAACCUGCCCCAGACUUUGGGAUAACCCUCGGAAACGGGGGCUAAUGCCGGAUACGACACAGCUUCGCAUGGGGUCUGUGUGGAAAGUUUUUCGGUUUGGGAUGGGCUCGCGGCCUAUCAGCUUGUUGGUGGGGUGAUGGCCUACCAAGGCGACGACGGGUAGCCGGCCUGAGAGGGCGACCGGCCACACUGGGACUGAGACACGGCCCAGACUCCUACGGGAGGCAGCAGUGGGGAAUAUUGCACAAUGGGCGGAAGCCUGAUGCAGCGACGCCGCGUGAGGGAUGACGGCCUUCGGGUUGUAAACCUCUUUCAGCAGGGACGAAGCGUAAGUGACGGUACCUGCAGAAGAAGCGCCGGCCAACUUCGUG